rnacentral:rRNA from 1 species
AUUGAACGCUGGCGGCAUGCCUAACACAUGCAAGUCGAGCGGAUGAAGGGAGCUUGCUCCUGUAUUCAGCGGCGGACGGGUGAGUAAUUCCUAGGAAUCUGCCUGGUAGUGGGGGAUAACGUCCGUAAACGGGCGCUAAUACCGCAUACGUCCUGAUGGAGAAAGGGAUGGAUCUUCGGACCUCACGCUAUCUGAUGAGCCUAGGUCGGAUUAGCUAGUUGGUGGGGUAAAGGCCUACCAAGGCGACGAUCCGUAACUGGUCUGAGAGGAUGAUCAGCCACACUGGAACUGAGACACGGUCCAGACUCCUACGGGAGGCAGCAGUGGGGAAUAUUGGACAAUGGGCGAAAGCCUGAUCCAGCCAUGCCGCGUGUGUGAAGAAGGUCUUCGGAUUGUAAAGCACUUUAAGUUGGGAGGAAGGGAAGUAAGUUAAUACAUUGCUGUUUUGACGUUACCAACAGAAUAAGCAACGGCUAACUUCGUG